CGAUAUAGGGGCCUAUUACAGAGGACGAGGCAAGCGGUGAGUUACUCGUUUGAUCAUUUUUUGUAUUACAGAUUGUAGACUCUUCACAAAAGUUUGAUCUUGGGAUUUCGGAUUCCAACAAUCAUCUCUCUUCCUUUUUUUAAAUUAAAUUCCAAUAUUAUUUCAUCGCAUGUUAGAAUUAUUGUAAUUCCUUAAAUUUAUACACUUAGUAAUUCUCAAAAUUGUUACAAAAGUUCACAUCAAUGGACAACGUAAUUUCAGUUCCCUAACAACAAUAUACUGGUUUUUGAGUUACUCGAUUGCUUCUACUUCCUAUUAGCCCAAAAGAAUUUAUUUCUUCCGUGAUUACGGCUUCUUCCUGUUUUGAUUGUACUUCUUGCAUUCAUUACAUUCCUUUUCAUUUAUGAUUUCAUCGCAAAUUUUAGCAGGUUGUUCAAGAUUAGAGAAUGGGCUGCUGCAAGUUAACCGUUUAAUAUAAUUGACAUGUCUGUCAUAUUUAUCACCAGUUUUCAAAUUUUUAAAAGUGAGACGAGUUUUUUUUUUUUUUUAAGGGAGGAUUUGUUAGUAGCUUAAGUAUUUAUGAUAAAUAUUAGUAAAUAAUGAGUAUGUGUGUCCAAUCACAAAUGGUGACUUCUCAACAUUGUUAGAAAUUUGUAAUUUUAAUUGUUAGGAUUUGUUUGCUUUCGCAAUUAGGACUUAUCAUGCGUAGGGAUUUGAACCUACUUGUCAGAAAAGGGGAAGUAAACUUACAACUAACUUAAUUGCUAACUUAUUGGCUAUAAAGAAAGCUUAUCGUAGCAAUUGAGGAUUGCAACGAUUUUUGUCAAAAAUUGUUAAUAAUUUUAUUUGACAUAGCUUCUAAUGGUUCAACACCAGUAAGUCUAUGUAAUUCGAGUGUACCAAACCAAGGAGGACGCUUCAAAAUCAUUUUCAGAAUUUUAUUCUGAAUCCUUUGGAGCGUUUUCUUCCUUGUUGAACAGCAACUUGACCAGAUCGGUACAGCAUAAAGCAUUGCUGGUCUAAAAAUUUGUUUGUAAAUCAAAAGUUUGUUCUUUAAACAAAGUUUAGAACUCCUGUUAAUGAGAGGAUAUAAACAUCUCGUAUAUAUGAUGCACUUGGCUUGUAUACUCUCAAUGUGCUCUUUGAAAAUAGGUUUUUUAUCAUAAAUUAGUCCCAAGUACUUAACCUUGUCGGACCAACUUAAAAUAACCCCAUUCAUCUUGACAACGUGAUUAUUGUUUGGCUUGAGGAAAGAAGCCCUAGGCUAUCAUUUAUAAUUUGUCAUUAAAUCAUUUAUCAUUAAAUUAUCAUUUGAGUUUUAGAAGCAUUGGGAGAGAUUUUCCACUUUUGCAAGUAGGAAGAAAAAAUAUCUAAACUUUUCUGAAGUGAUACGAGUUCAAUUCUUCUUUAUGACGAUGUUCGGCUGUGGAUGUGGGCGUUAAUUUACUUCGUUUCAAGAAAUUUUCAACUACUACCCAAUCUCCAACAUCAAUCUUAGAAUGUUUAGCUCUUCUUUUCUUACCUCCAUACAUUUUUCCUUUAUCUUUAAUAAUUUGAUCACUUUUUCAUUAUUAUUAACCCUCUCCCGCUCACAACGUUUAUCAUUAAAAUUUAUAGCUUCACGAGAAAAUUCAAGCUGAACAUUUUGUAGACUAACCAAAAUCACUGCCAACUGUAGUACUUUGAAGAAAAUGCCUAGUGAUGCUCUGAGGCAGUAUAUAAAAAUUUAUGGAACUAUCGUAAUCACAACAAACUAUUUUAUGUCAAGAUAUGAUGAUUAUAAUUCUUGGUGCUUUAGAGUCACCAUGAGCGGGAAAGGGUUAAGAAAAUCUGGUAACUUAUCUCUCAAACUACGGCCGGAUUAAUUUCGCUGGAGUUUCUGGCGUGGUAGAAGUUUUUGGUAGGAGUUUCUGGCGUGGAGUGGUGUGGUGUGUUUCGAUAAGCAAGUAAAAAAUUAUAUAGUUCAUUCUUCCAAUCUCGACCGUGAGCAACACUUAUUUUAACAGACUUUAAUAGUGUUCAAUUAUAACGCUCAACUAAACCGUUUUGAAAUGGAGCGUAUGGUACACAAUGUUCAAGUUCAACUCCAAAUGAAUUAAAAAAUCCAAUGAAUUCUUUGGAUCCGAAUGGUGGUCCAUUAUUACAUGCACGUUCCUUAGGAAACACAAAUCGAGCAAAAAUAAUCUUUACUUCGAAUAUGGUUGAUUUUAUAUUAUAACAUAAGUAAUUUGGGUGAAAGUUUUAGGAAAACACCGUAGGGCUUAUUAGCCCGAAAGAGCACCAGUAAUUCAGGGGUUUUCCCCUAGACAAAUUCCUGCUCACCUUCAAUUAUUCUCACCAAAUAAAUCCAAAGGCAGAACUUCCCGUACAACUUCAACAGGUCGUCUUCGAGAGGGCAGAACAAAUCCAGGAAUUCUCCUUAAUUGCCAGCCGGGCAAACACUAUAAUUUUCACCAACAGUUAACUUUCUCUUUAACUCUUUAUAAAAAAGCAACCAGACACUUUCGUUCCAGAAAUACUAAUGAGAGGCAAUUUUUAUUCCAAUUUUGACAGUGUCGCCACUCUAUAUAUUUACAGGCACUCUACUUUUAUCUUAGCGAUCAGUGUAUUGCGAUUUCAGAGAAAAAUUAGAAUUUUGCGCUCUAACUGACAACUGCAACUGACAACCGAAAAUGACAAUCUCAGACAGCACCGAUAUAAAUGCGACUCAAGAACUUGUUUGUCAAAGCGUAUGCACUCUUAAUUUACUUCAAUUGAAAUUGAAUAGCAUUGACUUAUAGCGAAUUUCUUUAUUCCACUAUGUGCGGGCAAAACUGCCGAGGAAUAAUAAAACGUCAUCGCCAUUUAAGACGCAAGUAAGAAAGAGAUGUCAGAUAACUGUUUACGAAUAUAGCACGUGCGGAAGUGGGUUGAAGCUGACAAAUUUUAUAGUGCGCUUCGGGCAGCACGGCAGGACAAAACUGGGUCAAAUUCGAGCGACUAAAGAAGGGUUUUGACAGCAGUUAGUGCGCUUCCGGGUCAAAACGAGGUGAGCUGGUGGAAUAAAAAAAUUCGCUAUUAGUGCCGCCUUGAUUUCUUGCCCUUGACUAUGCAGCAGAGCCGCAUUAUGGUUUGCAAUCAGAAUGUUCUACGAAAAAAACUAGUUAUAAUCCAUUAUUUGAUGUUGCUUAAACAGUAUGCAAUAUAACAUAGUUUUCACAAAAAAUGACCUUCCGUGCUUCGACGAAUUGAAGUUUCGGACUUCGUUAGUAUUGUUAUAGUUCGGCCAUUUGGAGCUGUUUGCAAAAUACUGUUUCGAUAUUUAAUGGUCCCCAUGGCGUUGCCUCCGCUCUAAUUUCGAGGUCAACCAACUUGUCACGUAACUUUGGCGUUUGGCCCAUGGCCAAAAAAAAUAGUCUUAUGAAUACCACAUUAUUUUUUCACUGUUCACGGAACUAAUAUCACUAAAAUUACCAGUUAACAUCCUCUCCUUUUAUGUUUAACAUUUACUUCUAGCGAAAAUCCGAAGCUUCUGAGCCCUACCGCUAAACGAAAUUUGAAGGCCUAAUUUCCCCAUAACUUCUAUUGGCUCCAGCAUGAGAAUUCCUUAGCUCCAGAAAGUCUUGUUUUGGAAAUUUGUUUGCUUGGAUAACAUAAAUGUUUUCCAGUACCGCAAAAGUGUACAGCGCAUUGUUUCUAUGUCUGUUUCUUGACUCUUCAAAAAUAAGUUUUAUUACUGUCAUAACAUGUAGCGUUAUUACUUUCAUAACAUGUUAGACAUAAUUGUCCCACGACUGUUAUUUUAUAUAUCAUGGCAUUGUUGUGAUAAAUACAUCAAAUCGACAAAAGCAUGCGAACUUUAACAAACCAGUAAAAAUAGGCGAAAUGGUGUCCAUCGCUGAUGGCAAUAAAUCGUGCAUGCCUUUGAUGAUGAAUAUGAUAUUCUUUUCUCGAUCAAGACAAACGAAAACCUAAAGCCUGUAGUACACUCUUUGUCUAAUGGUCAAAUAUUUGACCUUCUGACAUAAUGGUCAAAUAUUUGACCUUCUGACAUAAUGGUCAAAUUUAUUUGACAUCAUGGUUGUUGUUUGCCCGUGUUUGCCCCAUGUUAAAAUUGGAGAGUGACAAACAAUUAUAUUUGACCAAAUUUUUAUCUGUCAAAAAAUGACAAAUAUUUGACGCUCGGUCAAAGAGUAUAAUACAGGCUUAAGAAAAAAAUAAGAAGACUCUAAUUAACUAAUGAGGUGUAGAGAAUAAAACUUAUUCGGAUAUUUUUGUAUUUCAAUUACGAACAUUUUACUAUCCCCAGUUGAACGUGUAUCGAUUGCUAUUCCUUACAGCUCUUUUUUACCAGUGUUUGAGAUGUCUGACAGUUGCGGGUGUUGCUUCUUCUUUUUCUUGAAAAUACCCUGCAUUCUAAUUUUUUUGUGAAAGGACAAUAACCAGCGUUACUCUUUUUUCUAUACUCAUUUCGAAUAAGGGCGUAUGCCACUGUACUUCCCUUUUAAAAUUGAUAACAUGUUUGAAAACUCUAAAAUUUGAUUUGAGUUCAUAAUACCAUAUUUAAUUGAAAUAUCUUUAGACAAUUGUUCAUUAAUUUUCUAGCAGGCAAUGUGAAUUCAGGGAAACCCCUGCAGUCUUCUUCCUCCUCCAUGCUUGUGUUUGGGUUGGUUAGGUUCGCCCUGUCGGACGGUUGCCUGAGCGACACCAACCUAAGUCUCUCUGGCCUUUUGUAUCCCGGUCUAAUUUGCCCUCGAUGAGCCAUCACCGGCACGUUUCCAAUUGUAAUCUGAAAAGUGUUUUUAGAAUAACGUUUCAAAAAAUUAGCUUUGAGCCAACGCAUAUGAUUGUGAGGGUUGUGGUUUUUGUACCACACCACAUCACCCUCCAUCAGUUCAUCAAUAGGAUCGUUAGUGUAUUUGAUGCCUACAUUAGUAGGAUUGACUCCUACAUUAGUAGGGUCUGAUGGUUUUUCAUCAUGUGGUGACGACACGUGUCGUCUAUAAUGUUUUUUUGGAUUGACCAAAUCAAUUAAGGUUUUUGGAGUAUAAUUAAAAAUUCUCUCGGAUGGGAAGCUACCAUCUUUCGCCAAACAUGUAUUCCUACACGUAAAUAAAAAUAAGUCAAUCUGAUCCUCCCAAUCCAAAACGUUGGUUUCUGGUUCCAUUAGGAACUUUUUCAACACCUCUUUCACAGUUCUGACAAAUCUUUCCGCCUGCCCAUUACUAGAAGGGUUGUAGGGCGGGCUUUUAAGUACUUUUAUCCCUUGCUGCUCUAAAAAGUUUACGAAACCAUAAGAGUUGAGAGGAGGUCCGCCGUCAGAAGCUAAAACAUCCGGUAAACCAAACCUAGCGAAAAGGGCUAUAAGCUUUUUGAGGACUUUUCCUGUAUCAGUUCCAUUUUUCAUGUAUUCAAUUUCAAUCCAUUUGGAGAAGCUGUCGACCAUAAGCAAAAAGGUACGAUGUUCAAAACGGAAAAAAUCAAUAUGCACUCUACUGAAAGGUUUCGUGGUGGGAAUCCAUUUGUAUUCACUAUUUGCUUAGGUACUAGAGCCAUGCUAGUACAUACAUCGCAGUUAGAAACAAAAUUUUCUAUGUCCGAAUUAAUAUCAAACCAAUAAACUGUUCGUCGUGCUAGCUGUUUCAUUUUGACCAUCCCUGCAUGAUUGGCAUGUAAGAGUUUCAGAAUCCUGUUUUGCAUAAUUUGCGGUAUUAUUACCCUGUCCUUAUAUAACAAACAAUCAUCAAUGAUUUCCAAUUCAUGUUGAUUAGCAAAAACAUCUGCAAGACGCUUGUCUAGUCUUUUUGGCCAACCAUUUGUUAUGUAAAAAAUAAUUUGUUGAAGAAAAUUAUCAUGUUUUUUCAUUUGACUUAUCUGUAGGUGGUCUAUUGGUGAAAUUUUGGUAAAAUUAAUGCUUCUAACGAAAUCUAACUCUCUUGGAACAUUUUGUUCCAAAGGAAACCUUGAGCAGAAAUCUGCAUUUCCUAUUUUUGCUGAAGGUCGAUAUCUAAUCUCAAAUUCAUAUAUGGACAUUUCCAAGAUAUACCUUUGUAAUCUUGUUACAUAAAUAGAAUCUUUACCCUUUUUGCUGAAAAUUCCCACAAGAGGUUUAUGAUCUGUGAAAACUAGAAAUUUCUGUCCAUAAAGAUAUUUGUGAAACUUCUUUAUGACUGAAACUAAGCCUAAAGCUUCUAAAUGGAUGAUUGGAUAAUUCUUUUGAGCUGCGUUUAGGGAAAAGGAUGCAAAAGUUAUUGGUUUUUCAACCCCCUCAAUUUCGUGAGCGAUUACGCUUCCAAGGCCAUAGCCCGACGACAACCACUAUUGGUUUUUUAGGGUCAUAAAACUCCAACAAGUUUGCUCUCAUCAAUGCUAGUUUGCUUUCCUCGAAAACUUUAUCACAAUUUCCAUCCCACACAAAUUUAUUUUUUUUUUCAAGACUGUAUAAAUAAUAAAGUUUCGAAGAUAAAUGUGGUAUAAACUUGUUAUUAAAGUUAAUAAGACCUAGAAAUGAUUUUAAUUCCGUGACAUUUUUGGGAGCCUUCGCUUCUUUUAUUGUGGACAAUUUACUUGGGCACGGCAAUAACCCCUUUUCACUUAUUAUGUGUCCCAAGUAUGGUAACUCUGAAACUUGCAUUUUUCCACAUUUACCUUAAUAUUAGCUUCUGACAAUUUUGUCAAAACUAGCUUCAAUUUGUCAACACAAUCUUGUAAGUUUUUUCCAGCAAUCAAUACAUCAUCUAAAUAACAGUAAACGUUUUCUAUAUUUUGUAAUAUUUGGUCCAUAACUUGCUGAAAAAUGGAAGCGCUUGAGGACGCACCCUGUGGUAAUCGAUUCGAGAGCUGAGUGUAAGCCCCCACUAAAUCGAGUGCGCAAAAAACUUUACAGUCAGCCAAACCGGCGAAUAAAUCCUGUGCAACAGGCAAAGGGUGAGAACUUUUUCUUUCAACCUAUAUGGAACGUUGUACGCCGUUUUAAAAAUAGGCGCUUCUUCUUUGAGGACUAAAUCUGCCUCAAAUCCAACUAUGGGAGAAGAAAAAUCUUUCAUAAAUACAUUAACAUACGUUUGUUUUAAAUUCUGUAUUGAAUUAGUAAUCAACCCACUGUCUAUAUUUAAGUGUUAUAUUUAACAAACAGGCAACAAAUAAUAAAAUUUAAUGGAAAAAAGUCAAAUCCCAUUCAAGUUACUUCAGGUGUUCCCCAAGGCUCCCACUUAGGACCACUCCUUUUUAUUUUGUACGUAAACGACAUUUCCUUCAUCCUCAAAAAUAUUAAAGUUCUAAUAUAUGCCGACGACAUGAAGCUGUUUUUGGAAAUAAAAAGUCAAGAAGACAUCAAUGUAUUUCAGAAUGAAAUCCACACAUUUUACAUCUGGUGUAAGAAAAGCCUACUUGAAUUAAAUGUAAAAAAUGCAAUGUAAUAUCCUUUAGCAGAAAACUAACAACGCCCAAAAUUGUAAUUGCAUUAGGGGAUCAGAAUGUGAAGAAAUGUGAUAAAGUUAGGGAUUUAGGAAUAAUCUUAGAUUCUAAACUUAAUUUCAUCGACCACUACAACACUAUCAUACACAAGGCAAACAACAUGUUAGGGUUCAUCAAACGCUUCUGCUACAAUUUUCAAGACCCGUACACUAUCAAAACUUUGUAUAUUGCCUAUGUGAGUUCAAUACUGGAAUACUGUAGCAUUGUGUGGUCUCCUCGUCCUGGCGUACAUGAAGAAAGAAUAGAAUCAGUACAAAAGCAAUUUCUACUAUAUGCUCUUCGUAAGCUAGGUUGGACCGCACAUCGUCUUCCGUCAUAUGAAGCACGCUGCAUGUUGAUUGACAUUCAAACAUUAAAAGAACGGCGAGAGUACGCGAUGGCUUCAUUUGUAAACGAUAUCGUUUCGCAGAACGUUGACUCAGCAGUACUACUUUCUAAAUUGAACUUUUAUGCACCCAUUCGACACCGUAGUUUAUUUGCUCUUAACCAUCAUCGUACGGAAUACACAAAAAAUGGACCAAUAAAUAGUAUGAUGAAUUCUUAUAAUCAACACUGCGAAGCCAUUGACUUUUCGAUGUCCCGGUAUAAACUAAAACAGUAUUUCAAGUCCUUGAGGCUGAGGACACAAAAUUAAUUUGUUUUAUGUUCGUGUAUAGUUUAGAAAUUAUUGUAACCAGUCUACAUAUAUGA